rnacentral:rRNA from 1 species
AUGUUAGCGGCGGACGGGUGAGUAACACGUGGGUAACCUGCCUGUAAGACUGGGAUAACUCCGGGAAACCGGGGCUAAUACCGGAUGGUUGUUUGAACCGCAUGGUUCAGACAUAAAAGGUGGCUUCGGCUACCACUUACAGAUGGACCCGCGGCGCAUUAGCUAGUUGGUGAGGUAACGGCUCACCAAGGCAACGAUGCGUAGCCGACCUGAGAGGGUGAUCGGCCACACUGGGACUGAGACACGGCCCAGACUCCUACGGGAGGCAGCAGUAGGGAAUCUUCCGCAAUGGACGAAAGUCUGACGGAGCAACGCCGCGUGAGUGAUGAAGGUUUUCGGAUCGUAAAGCUCUGUUGUUAGGGAAGAACAAGUGCCGUUCAAAUAGGGCGGCACCUUGACGGUACCUAACCAGAAAGCCACGGCUAACUACGUGCCAGCAGCCGCGGUAAUACGUAGGUGGCAAGCGUUGUCCGGAAUUAUUGGGCGUAAAGGGCUCGCAGGCGGUUUCUUAAGUCUGAUGUGAAAGCCCCCGGCUCAACCGGGGAGGGUCAUUGGAAACUGGGGAACUUGAGUGCAGAAGAGGAGAGUGGAAUUCCACGUGUAGCGGUGAAAUGCGUAGAGAUGUGGAGGAACACCAGUGGCGAAGGCGACUCUCUGGUCUGUAACUGACGCUGAGGAGCGAAAGCGUGGGGAGCGAACAGGAUUAGAUACCCUGGUAGUCCACGCCGUAAACGAUGAGUGCUAAGUGUUAGGGGGUUUCCGCCCCUUAGUGCUGCAGCUAACGCAUUAAGCACUCCGCCUGGGGAGUACGGUCGCAAGACUGAAACUCAAAGGAAUUGACGGGGGCCCGCACAAGCGGUGGAGCAUGUGGUUUAAUUCGAAGCAACGCGAAGAACCUUACCAGGUCUUGACAUCCUCUGACAAUCCUAGAGAUAGGACGUCCCCUUCGGGGGCAGAGUGACAGGUGGUGCAUGGUUGUCGUCAGCUCGUGUCGUGAGAUGUUGGGUUAAGUCCCGCAACGAGCGCAACCCUUGAUCUUAGUUGCCAGCAUUCAGUUGGGCACUCUAAGGUGACUGCCGGUGACAAACCGGAGGAAGGUGGGGAUGACGUCAAAUCAUCAUGCCCCUUAUGACCUGGGCUACACACGUGCUACAAUGGACAGAACAAAGGGCAGCGAAACCGCGAGGUUAAGCCAAUCCCACAAAUCUGUUCUCAGUUCGGAUCGCAGUCUGCAACUCGACUGCGUGAAGCUGGAAUCGCUAGUAAUCGC